GCUCAUUUCCUUUAUUUUUGGGCCUUUAUAUGUUGUUUUAUAUUUAUUAAAUCAAACAAAGCUGAACGAAAUUCAUGCUUCAGAUCCUGACUACGGGCUGUUGCUAUUCUCGAUCAUUAUUAUAAUGUGUGUGAUUUUUGUGUCGAGCAUAUUUUUGUUAAUGUCCACUUUGCAUAAGAUCGUUUUUCCGAUUCAUAUAUACGUGUUCUUAACUAUCUUGCAAAUGGGUUUAACUCUGAUCGUCGCUGUAUGGUUGGUAAUAAAAUGUACAAUCUUUGACACGAAAUGUUUCAAUCAUACAAAGAACAGAAAAUCGAAUGACGCUUUGGUAUCGAUAGGUCUGCUUGGGAUUUCAGUAAU